AAGCAUGCACCCUCGUCCCUCCCACCCGCGCGAUUAAAUAUAGUUCGGAGGGAACUUACAAAGUUGCUACACAAAGAGGCGCGAAACCAAUCCCUCGAAAAAAGCUCUCCAUAUUUAGAAACUUCUCGGUUCUCGCCAUGGCCGUUUCUUCUUUCCGUUCUUCUUCUUCUCUCUCUGUCUCUGUUUCUUCGUCUCUCUGCAUUUUUCAUCGCCAAAUGCAUGGAGCUUCGUCGAUGUCUCUUUCGGAUUCUGAUGAUUCAAGCCGAAUCAAUCACUGAAAAAUCAUCUGUCCCUCAGCUGUUUCUUCAUCUUUGGCUCCUUUAUCUCCUUUAUGUUGUCAACUAAAGGGACUUUAAAUUGAGUCCUCACUUUGGCAUAGCUUUCCACACUCGCAUCAUGGAUUUGUGAAUUCUCAACUGUUUGAAGCUUCAUAUCUUGUAAAGUAGCUGACUCCGCAAAUAGCUUCCUGGAUUUAAUGUCAAGUGCGUACUGUAUUCGCUCAGGCAUGUUAUGAUCCUAUUUGGCGGUGCUGCACACUGUUUCAUUUUUGAGUUACGGAUGAUCAGAACCCUUGGUACAUCAUGGGAAGGCUUAUCAAUUUUCAAGGUGAUCAUCUUCUCACUAUGGGUGGUAUGAAAUCAUUUGUCUGUUUCUAAAUAUUGAAACAUACCUUGUUAGCAUGGAGAUGAGACGACGUUACAGGCAGAUACCUCUUUACCGAUAGUCUUUUCGCUUCUCUGAAGUCCUUAAUCCAACUACAAAUUCCUAGUAGGAGAUCCUUUUUAUUAAGGUACACAGAUAAAAUGAAAAGCCUAAGUUGUAAGAUCCUCCCAAUUAUAUCCGAAAGGUCAUAAAUCUCUUGGAAAAUCCUUUCAUUUCCUCUUCCAUAUCUCCCACAAGAUUGCUCUAACUACAUUCUUCCUUGGUGAGAUGAUCAUAAAGAGUUCAUAUAAAGAAAUACUCCUUAGUUUGGAAGUAAGUAGUCGAGAGGCUCACUUCUCUUGCAAAAAUAAACUUUAACAGUACUAGCUAACUUUUACUAUGCCCUUGGAAAAGAUAUGUUGUCUGUAUAGGUGGGUUUAGUAGGGUUGAAUAACCAAUCAAUACACAGAAAUACCUAUUGGCUCGUUAGACACAGCCACAACACCUAAUUGCUCCCUGAAAAAUAACUAGCCAGACCAUAAGGUUUUUUGGGAUGAAAUUUUCGAACCCUCGUCUUUUAAUCUCUUAAAACUUUUGUGCGUUCUCUUUUGAAUCCUUGUAGUUCUCAUUCCUUCCCAACCUUUUUUACCUUUCCCUUUUACUUGGCUCCUCCAACAUUGGUUUUAUUGUGUUUAGUGUUCGGGAAGCUAGGGUUUCAACCAAGGCCAACUUUAGUAUAGCUCUUAAGGUUAGAGAUUAGUAUUUUCCUACCCACAAGCUGAACUUCAGGGAAAAAAAGCCCCUUAUAAACCAUUUCCGACAACAAUUAUCAACUAAAUCUCAGGUUUUCCACGAUGAGUUGGUCAAUAGAGGUAUGGUAAGAUUUAUACUUUUCCAAUUUUUGGGGCACUUAAACUUUUGAUAUUUU